rnacentral:rRNA from 1 species
GAUGAACGCUGGCGGCGUGCCUAAUACAUGCAAGUCGAGCGAACAGAUGAGGAGCUUGCUCCUCUGACGUUAGCGGCGGACGGGUGAGUAACACGUGGAUAACCUACCUAUAAGACUGGGAUAACUUCGGGAAACCGGAGCUAAUACCGGAUAAUAUAUUGAACCGCAUGGUUCAAUAGUGAAGGACGGUUUUGCUGUCACUUAUAGAUGGAUCCGCGCCGCAUUAGCUAGUUGGUAAGGUAACGGCUUACCAAGGCAACGAUGCGUAGCCGACCUGAGAGGGUGAUCGGCCACACUGGAACUGAGACACGGUCCAGACUCCUACGGGAGGCAGCAGUAGGGAAUCUUCCGCAAUGGGCGAAAGCCUGACGGAGCAACGCCGCGUGAGUGAUGAAGGUCUUCGGAUCGUAAAACUCUGUUAUUAGGGAAGAACAAAUGUGUAAGUAACUAUGCACGUCUUGACGGUACCUAAUCAGAAAGCCACGGCUAACUACGGG